rnacentral:rRNA from 1 species
GUGGGGAAUAUUGGACAAUGGGCGAAAGCCUGAUCCAGCCAUGCCGCGUGUGUGAAGAAGGUCUUCGGAUUGUAAAGCACUUUAAGUUGGGAGGAAGGGCAGUAAGUUAAUACCUUGCUGUUUUGACGUUACCGACAGAAUAAGCACCGGCUAACUUCGUGCCAGCAGCCGCGGUAAUACGACGGGUGCAAGCGUUAAUCGGAAUUACUGGGCGUAAAGCGAGCGUAGGUGGUUUUGUAAGUUGGAGGUGAAAUCCCCGGGCUCAACCUGGGAACUGCCUCCAAAACUGCAUGACUAGAGUACGGUAGAGGGUAGUGGAAUUUCCUGUGUAGCGGUGAAAUGCGUAGAUAUAGGAAGGAACACCAGUGGCGAAGGCGACUACCUGGACUGAUACUGACACUGAGGUGCGAAAGCGUGGGGAGCAAACAGGAUUAGAUACCCCAGUAGUCC